AUGUUUAAAAUAUUUACACAUUCUUCUUAUGCAGGGGCCCGUAAAAUGGCAAGAGUGACCAUUCUUAAAAUAGUUGGAGCAGGACUAGGUGGUGCUGUACUCAUGGCAUGUCUCGGCUGUUUUGUCUGGUACAAAUGCAAGAAGAGGAAACAAACUGUAGCUUCGAACGAGUUCAUGCGAAGUGGAUCUUCAAUGACGUCAUACAGUAAAGACCUUGAGUUGGAUGGUUCUCCUCAUAUCUUCACUUUCGAGGAACUUGAGGUAGCUACUGAUGGGUUUAGUGCUUCAAGGGAGCUUGGUGAUGGUGGUUUUGGAACUGUCUACAAAGGAAAACUCAAGGAUGGGAGAGUAGUUGCGGUGAAACGCCUUUACAAGAACAAUUACAGACGGGUUGAGCAAUUCCUGAAUGAGGUUGACAUCCUGUCCCGCCUGCUCCACCAGAACCUUGUCAUCCUAUAUGGCUGCACGUCGCGCAUGAGCCGUGAUCUUCUCCUGGUGUACGAGUUCAUCGCAAAUGGGACGGUCGCAGACCAUCUUCACGGAUCCCGUGUGGCGGAACGAGGCCUCACUUGGCCUCUGAGGCUGAACAUUGCCAUAGAGACGGCUGAAGCACUGGCCUACCUCCAUGCGGUCGAGAUCAUACACCGAGAUGUGAAGACAACCAACAUAUUGCUCGACAACAGCUUCCAUGUCAAAGUUGCAGACUUUGGGUUAUCACGCCUGUUCCCACUUGAGGUCACCCAUGUGUCAACUGUUCCACAGGGCACACCGGGCUACGUCGACCCGGUGUACCACCAGUGCUACAAGCUGACCGACAAGAGUGACGUUUACAGCUUCGGUGUUGUGUUGGUGGAGUUGAUAUCAUCGAAACCUGCUGUGGACAUGAGCAGGAGCCACAGUGAGAUCAACUUGGCAAACAUGGCUCUCAACAGGAUUCAGAACCAUCAAGUUGUUCAGCUGGUUGAUCCGGAGCUCGGCUACAAUACCGACCCCGAAACGAAGAGGACGAUCGAUCGCGUCGCGGAGGUGGCCUUCCAGUGCUUGCAACUGGAGAGGGAUCUAAGGCCGUCCAUCAAGGAGGUGGUGGAGAUCCUGACUUGCGUCAGGGACGGAGACGGUGGGGAUAAUAGCAUGAAUAAGAAGGCAUCUCAGAAAGAAGACGUGUGCUUGCUCAAGGAUGGCCUGCAGUUCUCGCCCGACACUGUUAUACAUAGAUUCCAUAGCCAGUCAACUAACCACUCGGUAGCAUCGAAUGCUAGCAGAUUAUCUAACAUCAAAUGCUAA
rnacentral:rRNA from 1 species